rnacentral:tRNA from 1 species
GCCCUGAUCGUCUAGUGGUUAGGACAUUGCGUUGUGGCCGCAAUAACCCAGGUUCGAAUCCUGGUCUCGGCA